rnacentral:misc_RNA from 1 species
UCUCUCUCUCAAAAAAAAAAAAAGAAUUUCUCCUUCUAGCUUUGAUGUUUAGUUGUUGAGUUUGUUGGUCAAUAGUUGCUAAGAGUGCAAAUUAUUGUUUUUCAGUGAUCAAGAAUUCAAGAUGGUUGAUGUAUAGAAUUUAACCCCUUUUUUGAGUUUUUCUGGGGGUGUUUAAUUUUGUUUGGUGAGGUGUGAUUUGGGAACUGGAAAUUGACUUUUGUAGUCG